rnacentral:rRNA from 1 species
UACGGAGGGGGCUAGCGUUGUUCGGAAUUACUGGGCGUAAAGCGCACGUAGGCGGGUCGCUAAGUCGGGGGUGAAAUCCUGGAGCUCAACUCCAGAACUGCCUUCGAAACUGUCGAUCUUGAGUUCGGGAGAGGUGAGUGGAACUGCGAGUGUAGAGGUGAAAUUCGUAGAUAUUCGCAAGAACACCAGUGGCGAAGGCGGCUCACUGGCCCGAUACUGACGCUGAGGUGCGAAAGCGUGGGGAGCAAACAGG